CCGCACACAGCCCUGCAGUUUCGUGGUGAGGACACAGCUAAUCAUAGCUGGUGUUUGCGGAGGAAGAAGGAUUUUGCCACAAGCUCCAUGACAGACUCUCUCCCUCCUUCUCCAGGAUGGCACAGCAGGUCUGAGGCACAAUGAUUCCGUGGCAAACGUUUUCAAAUUCUCAGCGGUUCAGGCUGUGCUGCUUUAUCAAUUGACUGAGCAUUUUCUAUAUGCCAGCUCUCCACUGGGUCCUGGGAAUCCAGAGAUAAAAUAGGACAGGGUUCCUCAUGAAGCUGAAGCAGCCAGAGAUACAGGAGCUCCACAGGCAUGUACCCUAUAACCACACAAGCAUACUCUGAUUGGAUUCUACCUGCCUGUACAGGACUGGCUCAGGAGCUAGGUAAGCCAUGUCUGAUGGUGGAGGCCAGCAGUGGCUCCAGCUUGGAGGGACCCAAGAAGAGGGAAUAAGGGAGGGGCUGGUGGAGGAAAGAGAACUUUUCAUUGAUUCAGUAAGUAAAUAAGUAAGCACUGAUUGUGUACUUUCUAUGGGCUGAGUCCUACAGACACCACGGUGAACAAGACAGCCGUGUCUCUGUACCCCCAAAACUGAGCCUACUGGGGGAGCAAUGAAAGGGAAACUUUGGGAAGAUCAUUCAGUGGCUACGUUCGGGAAAUAAAGUGCAGAGCCUGUGCAGGAGUGCUUGCCGAGGUCUAGUAAGAGAGGAUGAAAGCUAGGUGGUGGUCGAGGCUCCAACUGUGUCCUGGAGGGAAGGGCAGCAGACAGACCUGGCUCUGCCCCUGACCAGCUCCUUGGCUCUGGACAAGUUAGUUUUGGGGUCUUCAGUUCCCUCCUCUGUAAGAUGCGAAGAAUGGUACCUGCCUCACAGGGUUUGGGUGACUAUUAAAUUAGGUGACACAUAGAAAUCUUGGCUCUCAGUAAUGCUCAAUAAGUGGGGACUGGUGGGCUUCCCUGGUGGUGCAGUGGUUAAGAAUCCGCCUGCCAAUGCAGGGGAUGCAGGUUCAAGCCCUGGUCCGGGAAGAUCCCACAUGCCACGGAGCAACUAAGCCCGUGCACCACAACUACUGAGCCUGUGCUCUAGAGCCCGCGAGCCACAACUACUGAAGCCUGCGCGCCUAGAGCCCUUGCUCCGCAACAAGAGAAGCCACCGCAAUGAGAAGCCCGCACACCGCAACGAAGAGUGGCCCCCGCGCACCGCAACUAGAGAAAGCCCGCGUGCUACAACGAAGACCCAAAUCAGCCAAAAAUAAAUAAAUAAAAUAAAUUUACUUUAAAAAAUAAUUAAGUGGGGGCUAUUGUUAAUAAGAACAUUAAUAACUAGGUGAGGGACUUCCCUGGUGGUACAGUGGUUAAGACUCCGCACUCCCAGUGCAGAGGGCCCAGGUUCGAUCCCGGGUCUGGGAACUAGAUCUCACAUUCAUGUCGCAACUAAGGAGCCCGACUGCCGCAACUAAGACCCAACACAACCAAAUAAAUAAAUAUUUUUUAAAAAUUACUAGGUGAAUCUAGAAGUCUCGUUGAAGGAAUAAAUGACAAGACUUGGUGACUGAGUGUGGGAAAUAUUUUAAUUGAA